rnacentral:rRNA from 1 species
UACGAAGGGGCUAGCGUUGCUCGGAAUCACUGGGCGUAAAGGGUGCGUAGGCGGGUCUUUUAAGUCAGGGGUGAAAUCCUGGAGCUCAACUCCAGAACUGCCUUUGAUACUGGGAAUCUCGAGUCCGGGAGAGGUGAGUGGAACUGCGAGUGUAGAGGUGAAAUUCGUAGAUAUUCGCAAGAACACCAGUGGCGAAGGCGGCUCACUGGCCCGGUACUGACGCUGAGGUGCGAAAGCGUGGGGAGCAAACAGGG